rnacentral:lncRNA from 1 species
CCACAUGGUAACUGAUAGGUUGAUGAGUUUAGGCCCUGAAUGUUCCACAUGCUAACUGAUAGGUUGAUGAGUUUAGGCCCUGAAUGUUCCACAUGGUAACUGAUAGGUUGAUGAGUUUAGGCCCUGAAUGUUCCACAUGCUAACUGAUAGGUUGAUGAGUUUAGGCCCUGAAUGUUCCACAUGGUAACUGAUAGGUUGAUGAGUUUAGGCCCUGAAUGUUCCACAUGGUAACUGAUAGGUUGAUGAGUUUAGGCCCUGAAUGUUCCACAUGCUAACUGAUAGCUUGAUGAGUUUAGGCCCUGAAUGUUCCACAUGCUAACUGAUAGGUUGGUGAGUUUAGGCCCUGAAUGUUCCACAUGCUAACUGAUAGGUUGAUGAGUUUAGGCCCUGAAUGUUCCACAUGCUAACUGAUAGGUUGAUGAGUUUAGGCCCUGAAUGUUCCACAUGGGAUUUCAUGUUGCAAAAAGAAAGAAUAGCAGUCAGACAUACAGUAACCUCUAAUUAAUACAAUUUUAUUGGUCACAUACACGUGAUUAGCAGAUGUUAUUGCGGCUGUAGUGAAAUGCUUGUGCUUCUAGUUCCGACAGUGCAGUAAUAUUUAAGAAGUAAUAUCAAACAAAUUACACAACAUAUACAAUACACACAAAUCUAAGUAGGAAUGAAUUAAGACUAUAUACAUAUGGAUGAGCGAUGUCAGAGCGGAAUGGACUAAGAUACAGUAGAAUAGAAUACAGUAUAUACAUAUGAGAUGAGUAAUGCAAAAUAUGUAAACAUUAUUAAAGUGACUAGUGUUCCAUUCCUUCAAGUGGCCAGUGACUUCUAGUCUAUGUAUAUAGUCAGCAGCCACUCAAUGUUAGUGAUGGCUGUUUAACAAUCUGAUGGCCUUGAGAUAGAAGCUGUUU